GAUUGCACAGAUGAAGUGGUGUCACAGUGGCUAUCUGAUGUGAAGGAAUGGGCAGCUGGUGGUAAGCAUGACCAGAUAAAAGAAACAACAAACAUCCCUUUCUACCAUCUACAUUUUAUGUUUGAUAUUAAAGAGCAGCUAAAGAUAGUAGGCGGAUCAUCAUCUAAUGUGAUGCCACAUUUAUGUCAGGUUUAUUAGAAUAUUCCAGUUCCUUGCAGGAAGUGCACAUACCAAGUAUAAAUAAGUUUGAUUAAAAGGUUUUACAUAAAAUUCAAACUUGCUUUCACUAUUUCUUAUACAGAGACACCUGAUACAUCUAGUGCCAGUCAAGGCACAACACACAGAGGAAUUCAGCAAUCAAUUAAGGGGCUCUACCUUAGUGUGAGGCACCGGAAGCGAACCCUCUACCGUCAGAAUGACAGCAGCAAGUUUCGCCAUCGCCUUCGAAGAAAGCUGGCAGAAGACAAAAAACUCCUUCUUCAGGAGAUACAGAAAUACAAUGAUCUUGUACUAGAAUCGGCAACAACCAUUGACGUAGCUGUGGUGGAGCAUUCCCUAACUGGAGAGAGUACUGUGUCUCAAAUAUGGCCGUGGGAAGUUCAUGGCAGUGGUAUGUCUGUUUUUAGAUGCUUCACAGGAAUUUAUUUUCAGUUCUGCUUUAUAGAGUAUACUGAACUAAGGCAUGCAUGUUACAUAUUGAGUGUUGUAAUAUUAAUUUAGUUUAUUGGUGUAUUUUCAGUUUUCUUAUGUAUCAAUUUGAUAAAAAAGUAAAUGUUUGUAGUGAUUAUGCAAGAUUGUCUCAUGUUUACAUAUAACUGUUAUUGAUUCUUAGCAAACAUUUCAAUCAAGGAACGAGUGCACGAUCAAGUGAUGUUAACAAGGCGACUGCAUGAGGAAACAAGAGUUUUGGUGUUGGAGAUGGCACAACACUGCACAUGGUUGCAGAGCCUGGCAAUGGUUCUCAAGAACAAGUUGGCUGAGGAGGGUAAGUUUAAUUAAAACCCUGUCCAUCUAAUGUGUUAAAAAAACACACAAAAAAAACACAUCAGUCACAGAACUUGAUGGAGUAGAACGCUUAUUGCUCUCUUUGCCGAGGUCCUUUAACACAUACAUAAAAUGGGGAUUAAAAUUGUUACUGUAGCUAUGGUUACAAGUCAGUAAGGCUAUAAAGAUUCACAUUUGCUUGAAGAUGUGCAGAUUUGUUGUACUAUGGCUGUUACUUGAAAGCAUAAAUGAACAAAAUAAUUUGAACAUUGAAAUUUGUGUCCUGAUGUGUUACACGUGGUUAGCAUAACAUCAAGAUUAAUUUUAUUAUUAUCAUCUCCUCCAGUCAACAUAGAAAACCUUGCUGGUCAGCAAGUAACAAAAUGUGUUAUUUCAGCACAACUCUAGUGAUAGCUGUUUUAAGUUAACAGGUUUCUAUAUAUAUAUAAUAUAUAUANAUAUAUAUAUAUAUAUAUAUAUAUAUAUAUAUAUAUAUGCUGCUUUGGGCUUUAAUUCGAAGAUUACAGUGAGAUUAAUCUAGAUUAAAAAAAUUAAUCUAUGCCCACCACUAAUACAUAUAUGCUGCUUUGGGCCUCCCUCCAUAAAGUCACCUCAGUGAGCCAUGUUGCCUUAAAUUGUUUUAUACAGAAGCUAGCCUGGUCCCAUGUCAGCGAUACACAUAAAAAUGGCAAUCAUCCUGCUAUGUAGAUUUGAAUAGGUGAUAUCUUUUUACUCCAUUUAAGUUCUUUGGCCUUAUGAAACAAUCUUAAUAUAGUUUGUCUUUAAUGUAAUCUCGUUUGUAUUUUGAGAUGUAGACCAGGGAAAUGAGUGACUUUGCUGUCUCUUAAGAAGUCUCUUAGGUCCUGAGGCCUCUGNUGUUAUUCUUAAUAAUUAAUUUGUGUAUUUUAUUAAUGCUUUACACACCUUACUUAUUCUAAAACAGCUGAAAUUCACCCUCUUAUCCUAAUUCUUGCUUUUUUGUUUUUCUGUAUUUCCCCAGAUGGAAGCUGCACGAAGGACUAUGUUGAAGGAAAUGGACUUGCCCUAUAUCUGUGUAUUAUUAGUAUGCUGAUUGAUUAACCACAUCAAAAUCUUGUUGAAAAUUCAAACUGUGUCUUUAGAUUUUCCAAGCAAUUUAGUAAGCACAUUGCACAGUUCAUUAAAAAUGCACAAACCUCUCAUUAUAGGUGCACCAAUCUUAGCCAAAAAUGUCAACUUUGCAUGUAUGAUAUUACCAGAUGUAAUUACUGUGCCCAUAUGAUAUUUGGGUAGUGUAUACUCUUCUAAAAGAGAGACUCCCCUUGAUUGUGGUGACCCUGUAACCUUUCCUUUUGCACCAACGUUAGGCCAAACUUUUGACUUGCACACAACAAAUGUUAUGAACCGAUUUCUGUAAUUUUCUGAGCAAUGAAUCAUGUCAUGUUGACCUUAUGACAUUCCCUGUAGCACAAUCAUUAGACCAGAAUGUAAAAUUGAAUAUUGUCUAAUUGGGCAGAUUGCCAUGAAAUCUUGUAAGCACAUGAUGACUUUGGUGACCUUAUGACAAUUCCUCUAUCAUCACAUUUAGGCCUUAAUGUAAAAACUCAUUCUUGAUUGCAUUUCUCAAUAUUCACUUAUUCUGUGGUGCAGUGUCAGUCUAUGACAUUUUGUUUUUCCCCAGAGGAGGCUGCCUAUGGAUCACUACUUGAUUGAGUGUAUUAUAUAACUGUUGUGUAACUUUAUAUUACUGCAAAGAUGCAUUAUAGUAUGUAACAGAAAAAUACAGUUUUUUAUUUUACGAUUAUACUUUAUAUUGUAUAUUAUUACAGUUGACAGAUGACUUAAUUCUUUGUUCUGCUGGAGCUUUUCAAGUGAACUUAACCUCACAGUCCAAUGUUUUUAAAUACAGCCUUAUGGCUUGUGUCAUCACAUUUAGGCCUUAAUGUAAAAACUCAUUCUUGAUUGCAUUUCUCAAUAUUCACUUAUUCUGUGGUGCAGUGUCAGUCUAUGACAUUUUGUUUUUCCCCAGAGGAGGCUGCCUAUGGAUCACUACUUGAUUGAGUGUAUUAUAUAACUGUUGUGUAACUUUAUAUUACUGCAAAGAUGCAUUAUAGUAUGUAACAGAAAAAUACAGUUUUUUAUUUUACGAUUAUACUUUAUAUUGUAUAUUAUUACAGUUGACAGAUGACUUAAUUCUUUGUUCUGCUGGAGCUUUUCAAGUGAACUUAACCUCACAGUCCAAUGUUUUUAAAUACAGCCUUAUGGCUUGUUUGACAAAUAUGUAUUUGGUGUAUUUUCACUGGUAUUGUUGUGAAAGACAAGAAAUAAAGUAUUUCCAAAGAUGAA
ensembl:lncRNA